GAUGAACGCUGGCGGCGUGCCUAAUACAUGCAAGUCGAGCGAACAGACGAGGAGCUUGCUCCUUUGACGUUAGCGGCGGACGGGUGAGUAACACGUAGGUAACCUACCUAUAAGACUGGGAUAACUUCGGGAAACCGGAGCUAAUACCGGAUAAUAUGUCGAACCGCAUGGUUCGAUAGUGAAAGAUGGCUUUGCUAUCACUUAUAGAUGGACCUGCGCCGUAUUAGCUAGUUGGUAAGGUAACGGCUUACCAAGGCAACGAUACGUAGCCGACCUGAGAGGGUGAUCGGCCACACUGGAACUGAGACACGGUCCAGACUCCUACGGGAGGCAGCAGUAGGGAAUCUUCCGCAAUGGGCGAAAGCCUGACGGAGCAACGCCGCGUGAGUGAUGAAGGUCUUCGGAUCGUAAAACUCUGUUAUUAGGGAAGAACAAACGUGUAAGUAACUGUGCACGUCUUGACGGUACCUAAUCAGAAAGCCACGGCUAACUACGUG
rnacentral:rRNA from 1 species